AUUGAACGCUGGCGGCAUGCUUUACACAUGCAAGUCGAACGGUAGAGGGGGCAACCCCUUGAGAGUGGCGAACGGGUGAGUAAUGCAUCGGAACGUGCCCAGUCGUGGGGGAUAACGCAGCGAAAGCUGUGCUAAUACCGCAUACGAUCUCUGGAUGAAAGCGGGGGACCGAAAGGCCUCGCGCGAUUGGAGCGGCCGAUGUCAGAUUAGGUAGUUGGUGGGGUAAAGGCUCACCAAGCCAACGAUCUGUAGCUGGUCUGAGAGGACGACCAGCCACACUGGGACUGAGACACGGCCCAGACUCCUACGGGAGGCAGCAGUGGGGAAUUUUGGACAAUGGGCGCAAGCCUGAUCCAGCAAUGCCGCGUGCAGGAAGAAGGCCUUCGGGUUGUAAACUGCUUUUGUACGGAACGAAAAGGUCUGGGUUAAUACCCUGGGCACAUGACGGUAUCCGGAGAAGAAGCCCCGGCUAACUUCGUGCCAGCAGCCGCCGUAA
rnacentral:rRNA from 1 species